UCACACCACCAGCAAAAUAAAGUCAAAUUGAGUUAUGAUUUGACAGCUGACCUGACAGUCCGCGUUAAAUAAACACUUUUCGUUUUUCAUUGUGGCCUUCAAUCUAUAAAGUGUUUUGUCGAAAUGGAGCAAAAUGUCGGAAUGGAUCAAGAUCUGUUUGAAGACCAAGACUUCUCGGCAGAUGAUGAUGUUGUUGACCAAAAUUUUAUCCCGGAGAAGGUGAUCCGCAAGAGGAAUAUUGUUGCGGAUAGUGAUUCGGCAGUGAGUACUAAAAGAAUGCGUAGCGUCGGAAGGAGUUCGCCUAAAUUAAUUUUCAAUUCAGAAUUUUACGUGGCAAUGGAAAAAUCAAAUGGAAGAACAACGGCUAAAUGUGCCGCCUGUAAUAAAAUCAUACGAGGCACCGAGGAAGUAACUUCAAACUUGAUAUCCCAUUUGAAACUUCGCCACAAUGACUUACACAAAAAGUAUUUAAGUAUGAA